GACGAACGCUGGCGGCGUGCUUAACACAUGCAAGUCGAACGAUGAACCCGGAGCUUGCUCCGGUGGAUUAGCGGCGAACGGGUGAGUAACACGUGAGUAACCUGCCCUUGACUCUGGGAUAACUGCGGGAAACUGUAGCUAAUACCGGAUACGACCCUCGGCGGCAUCGCCAGGGGGUGGAAAGAAUUUCGGUCAAGGAUGGACUCGCGGCCUAUCAGCUAGUUGGUGAGGUAACGGCUCACCAAGGCGACGACGGGUAGCCGGCCUGAGAGGGUGACCGACCACACUGGGACUGAGACACGGCCCAGACUCCUAUGGGAGGCAGCAGUGGGGAAUAUUGCACAAUGGGCGCAAGCCUGAUGCAGCAACGCCGCGUGAGGGAUGACGGCCCUCGGGUUGUAAACCUCUUUUAGUAGGGAAGAAGCGAAAGUGACGGUACCUGCAGAAAAAGCACCGGCUAACUACGUGCCAGCCGCCGCCGUAA
rnacentral:rRNA from 1 species